rnacentral:rRNA from 1 species
GACGUAGGGCGCGAGCGUUGUCCGGAAUUAUUGGGCGUAAAGAGCUCGUAGGCGGUUCGUCGCGUCGGCUGUGAAAACCUGAGGCUCAACCUCAGGCCUGCAGUCGAUACGGGCGGACUUGAGUACUGCAGGGGAGACUGGAAUUCCUGGUGUAGCGGUGAAAUGCGCAGAUAUCAGGAGGAACACCGGUGGCGAAGGCGGG